rnacentral:rRNA from 1 species
CGAACGCCGCGUGAGUGAGGAAGGCCUUCGGGUCGUAAAGCUCUGUUGCCAGGGAAGAAUAAGGGCUAGUUAACUGCUAGUCCGAUGACGGUACCUGAGAAGAAAGCCCCGGCUAACUACGUGCCAGCAGCCGCGGUAAUACGUAGGGGGCAAGCGUUGUCCGGAAUUAUUGGGCGUAAAGCGCGCGCAGGCGGUUCUUUAAGUCUGGUGUAUAAGUGCGGGGCUCAACCCCGUGAGGCACUGGAAACUGGAGAACUUGAGUGCAGAAGAGGAGAGCGGAAUUCCACGUGUAGCGGUGAAAUGCGUAGAGAUGUGGAGGAACACCAGUGGCGAAGGCGGCUCUCUGGACUGUAACUGACGCUGAGGCGCGAAAGCGUGGGGAGCAAACAGGAUUAGAUACCCUGGUAGUCCACGCCGUAAACGAUGAGUGCUAGGUGUUGGGGGGAUCGCCCCCUCGGUGCCGAAGUUAACACAUUAAGCACUCCGCCUGGGGAGUACGGUCGCAAGACUG